CAGAGAGUAGUUUAGUGCUAGAAUUCCGGCUUUGGGAGUCGGAGGUGGGAGCUAAAAUCUCCCCUCUCUGA
rnacentral:tRNA from 1 species